CAGGUGGUCAGGUAGAGAAUACUCAGGCGCUUGAGAGAACUCGGGUGAAGGAACUAGGCAAAAUGGUGCCGUAACUUCGGGAGAAGGCACGCUGGCGCUAGGUGAAGUGGUUUACCCAUGGAGCUGAAGCCAGUCGCAGAUACCAGCUGGCUGCAACUGUUUAUUAAAAACACAGCACUGUGCAAACACGAAAGUGGACGUAUACGGUGUGACGCCUGCCCGGUGCUGGAAGGUUAAUUGAUGGGGUUAUCCGUAAGGAGAAGCUCUUGAUCGAAGCCCCAGUAAACGGCGGCCGUAACUAUAACGGUCCUAAGGUAGCGAAAUUCCUUGUCGGGUAAGUUCCGACCUGCACGAAUGGCGUAAUGAUGGCCAGGCUGUCUCCACCCGAGACUCAGUGAAAUUGAACUCGCUGUGAAGAUGCAGUGUACCCGCGGCAAGACGGAAAGACCCCGUGAACCUUUACUAUAGCUUGACACUGAACAUUGAGCCUUGAUGUGUAGGAUAGGUGGGAGGCUUUGAAGUGUGGACGCCAGUCUGCAUGGAGCCAACCUUGAAAUACCACCCUUUAAUGUUUGAUGUUCUAACGUUGCCCCGUUAUCCGGGGUGCGGACAGUGUCUGGUGGGUAGUUUGACUGGGGCGGUCUCCUCCCAAAGAGUAACGGAGGAGCACGAAGGUUGGCUAAGCAUGGUCGGACAUCAUGCGGUUAGUGCAAAGGCAUAAGCCAGCUUGACUGCGAGAGUGACGGCUCGAGCAGGUACGAAAGUAGGUCUUAGUGAUCCGGUGGUUCUGAAUGGAAGGGCCAUCGCUCAACGGAUAAAAGGUACUCCGGGGAUAACAGGCUGAUACCGCCCAAGAGUUCAUAUCGACGGCGGUGUUUGGCACCUCGAUGUCGGCUCAUCACAUCCUGGGGCUGAAGUAGGUCCCAAGGGUACGGCUGUUCGCCGUUUAAAGUGGUACGCGAGCUGGGUUUAGAACGUCGUGAGACAGUUCGGUCCCUAUCUGCCGUGGGCGUUGGAAGAUUGAAAGGGG
rnacentral:rRNA from 1 species